rnacentral:rRNA from 1 species
AACAAUGCCUCAGGAUAGCUGGUGCAUUUAAAAAUUAUAUAAAAUAAUCUUAUCUGGUAAAGCGAAUGAUUAGAGGCCUUAGGGUCGAAACGAUCUUAACCUAUUCUCAAACUUUAAAUGGGUAAGAACUUAACCUUUCUUGAUAUGAAGGUCUAAGUUGUGAUAUAUUGUGCCCAGUGGGCCACUUUUGGUAAGCAGAACUGGCGCUGUGGGAUGAACCAAACGUAAUGUUACGGUGCCCAAAUUAACAACUCAUGCAGAUACCAUGAAAGGCGUUGGUUGCUUAAAACAGCAGGACGGUGGACAUGGAAGUCGUAAUCCGCUAAGGAGUGUGUAACAACUCACCUGCCGAAGCAACUAGCCCUUAAAAUGGA